CGUGCUGCGGAAGCAUGAGCUCCCACCUUGUGACAGCAUGAAGACAUCCCGGGGCUCCUGUCACCCACCCCUUCGCUUUCCAGAUGAUCAAAUAGAGAUUUAGGGAGUUGAGGUGACUCUUUUCAAGGUCACACAGAGAACCAGUGGCCCAGAAAGGCUCGGAAAGCAGCCUCCUAAGUUCUGGCAAGCCCAUCGGGCCGUCCUUCGCAGUGGUAAGAGGAAUGACAAGGGGACCUUGUCCUCAGCCACGCCCACUGACUGCACCUGACCUCUGUCGCCUUUUGGUGCUGCAGUAUUCAGGCACUCUCCACUUGGGAUACAGCUCCAAUAGAUCCGUUUUCUCCUUCACUGUUGGCCUUCCCCGCCUUGCAAACGAGCACCUAGCUUCCUGCCUUCUAAAGGAAUGAAUAGCCUACGGCCUACAGCCUUACCCCAAGGAGAGAAACUGUAAAGGUCAGCACGUCUCCGUGUCCAGCUGGUCACCCAGGGGAGCCUGCAGAAGCUUAUGUGGAGGGGCACCCAGGUGGUUCAGUGGUUGAGCGUCCAUCUCUGGCUCAGGGCUUGAUCCUGGGGUCCUGGGAUCGGGUCCUACAUCAGGCUCCCCACAGGGAGCCUGCUUCUCCCUUUGCCUGUGUC